UUUUAGUUUGAACCCCCGAAACUAAGUGAGCUACUUCGAGGCAGUUUUAAGAACGACCCCAUCUCUGUAGCAAAAGAGUGGGAUGACCCCCAAGUAGAGGCGACAAACCUACCGCACUUAGAGAUAGCUGGUUACUCAAGAAAAGAAUUUAAGUUCAACCUAAAGCUUUUCAAUUACACAAAAACACAAUAAAACUUUAGAGCCACUCAAAUAAGGCACAGCUUAUUUGAAAUAGGAUUCAACCUACAACAUCGGGUAAUAUAGAUAAAUAAGUAACAAGUGGGCCUAAAAGCAGCCACCUACAAAAAGCGUUAAAGCUUAAUACUUAAAUAAUACUAAUACCUCCACUACCAUAGAACCCCUCACCAAUAUUGAGUAAUUCCAUAAACCUAUGGAAGCUAUUAUGCUAGAAUUAGUAACAAGAAAUAGCUUUUCUCCUAAAUGUAAGCUUAAGCCACAAUAGACCAACUACCGGCAAUUAACGCAUAUGAAAACAUUACAACAACUCAAACAAGAAAACCCUGUACCAACACACGUUAACCUUACACCAGAACAUUUAAGGAAAGAUUAAAAGAAAAAGAAGGAACUCGGCAAACCACUGACCCCGCCUGUUUACCAAAAACAUCGCCUCUUGCUAAAACAUAAGAGGUCCAGCCUGCCCAGUGACAAAAUUCAACGGCCACGGUAUCCUAACCGCGCCAAGGUAGCAUAAUCACUUGUUCUUUAAAUGGGGACUUGUAUCAACGGCACCACGAGGGUUAUACUGUCUCCUUUUUCAAAUCAGUGAAAUUAAUCUCCCCGUGAAGAAGCGGGGAUAUUCUUAUAAGACGAGAAGACCCCAUGGAGCUUCAAACCCAAUUACACCCCUAACUCUUAUAACCUCACAACCCCCUCUAGACACGUGUACUUGGUUUUGGGUUGGGGCGACCGCGGAGUAUAAUAAAACCUCCACAAUGAAUGGGACCACCCCCUUAUCUAAGGACCACACCCCUAAGAAUUAGAACACUAACAUAAAAUGAUCCAUUACUUGAUCAAUGAACCAAGUUACCCUGGGGAUAACAGCGCAAUCCAUUUCAAGAGCCCCUAUCGACAAAUGGGUUUACGACCUCGAUGUUGGAUCAGGGUACCCCAGUGGUGCAGCA
rnacentral:rRNA from 1 species